GCUAAGAAUAUUCCGCAAUGGACGAAAGUCUGACGGAGCGACGCCGCGUGAAUGAUGAAGGCCGAAAGGUUGUAAAAUUCUUUUGCUAGGGAAGAAUAACCAUGGGAGGGAAUGCCCAUGGGAUGACAUGAACUGGCGAAUAAGCCCCGGCUAACUACGUGCCAGCAGCCGCGGUAACACGUAGGGGGCAAGCGUUGUUCGGAAUUACUGGGCGUAAAGGGCAUGUAGGCGGCCUUAUAAGCCUGGCGUGGAAUCCCACGGCUUAACCGUGGAAUUGCGUUAGGAACUGUAGGGCUAGAAUUAUGGAGAGGGAGUUAGAAUUCCUGGUGUAGGGGUGAAAUCUGUAGAUAUCAGGAAGAAUACCAGUGGCGAAGGCGAGCUCCUGGCCAAUGAUUGACGCUGAGGUGCGAAAGUGUGGGGAUCAAACAGGAUUAGAAACCCUAGUAGUCC
rnacentral:rRNA from 1 species